GACGAACGCUGGCGGCGUGCUUAGCACAUGCAAGUCGAACGGAAAGGCCCUGCUUUUGUGGGGUGCUCGAGUGGCGAACGGGUGAGUAACACGUGAGUAACCUGCCCUUGACUUUGGGAUAACUUCAGGAAACUGGGGCUAAUACCGGAUAGGAGCUCCUGCUGCAUGGUGGGGGUUGGAAAGUUUCGGCGGCUGGGGAUGGACUCGCGGCUUAUCAGCUUGUUGGUGGGGUAGUGGCUUACCAAGGCUUUGACGGGUAGCCGGCCUGAGAGGGUGACCGGCCACAUUGGGACUGAGAUACGGCCCAGACUCCUACGGGAGGCAGCAGUGGGGAAUAUUGCACAAUGGGCGGAAGCCUGAUGCAGCAACGCCGCGUGCGGGAUGACGGCCUUCGGGUUGUAAACCGCUUUCGCCUGUGACGAAGCGUGAGUGACGGUAAUGGGUAAAGAAGCACCGGCUAACUACGUG
rnacentral:rRNA from 1 species